UACGUAGGGGGCAAGCGUUGUCCGGAAUCAUUGGGCGUAAAGGGUGCGUAGGUGGCAUGGUAAGUCGGAUGUGAAAUCCCGGGGCUCAACCCCGGAACUGCAUUCGAUACUGCUGCGCUAGAGUACUGGAGAGGAGAUUGGAAUUUACGGUGUAGCAGUGAAAUGCGUAGAUAUCGUAAGGAAGACCAGUGGCGGAGGCGGAUCUCUGGACAGUUACUGACACUGAGGCACGAAGGCCAGGGGAGCAAACGGG
rnacentral:rRNA from 1 species